GACGAAGGAUUCAAGCGUUGUCCGGAUUUAUUGGGCUUAAAGGGUAUGUAGGCGGCCCUUCAAGUCGGGUGUGAAAGCCCUCGGCUCAACCGAGGAACUGCGCCCGAUACUGUGGGGCUCGAGGGAGACAGAGGUAAGCGGAACUGAUGGUGGAGCGGUGAAAUGCGUUGAUAUCAUCAGGAACACCAGUGGCGAAAGCGGCUUACUGGGUCUCUUCUGACGCUGAGAUACGAAAGCUAGGGGAGCGAACGGG
rnacentral:rRNA from 1 species